GCUGGCGUAGCUCAACUGGUAGAGCAUCUCAUUUGUAAUGAGACGGUUGGGGGUUCGAGUCCCUUCGCCAGCU
rnacentral:tRNA from 1 species